UACGUAGGUCCCGAGCGUUGUCCGGAUUUAUUGGGCGUAAAGCGAGCGCAGGCGGUUUAAUAAGUCUGAAGUUAAAGGCAGUGGCUUAACCAUUGUUCGCUUUGGAAACUGUUAAACUUGAGUGCAGAAGGGGAGAGUGGAAUUCCAUGUGUAGCGGUGAAAUGCGUAGAUAUAUGGAGGAACACCGGUGGCGAAAGCGGCUCUCUGGUCUGUAACUGACGCUGAGGCUCGAAAGCGUGGGGAGCAAACAGGAUUAGAUACCCCGGUAGUCCCUGAGCGGG
rnacentral:rRNA from 1 species